rfam:Synechococcus phage ACG-2014a isolate Syn7803TS79, complete genome.
UAACGCUUCUUUACACGCCUUACCAAGACUAAACAGCGUGUCUAAACAAGAGUCUUUCAUACCUGCCUCUGAGGGUGAGACAGGAAUAUCUUACUAG